CCCGUGGACGCCGCAGAGUAAGCAUCAUUAAAGUCUCCCCUCCCACCGCCGUCAUGUCUAAGUCAGAGUCUCCCAAAAAGCCUGAACAGCUGCAGAAGCUCUUCAUCAGAGGUUUGAGCUUUCAAACAACUGAUGAGAGUCUGAGGAGCCAUUUUGAGCAAUGGGGGAACGCUUACGGACUGUGUAGUAAUGAGAGAUCCAAACACCAAGCGCUCCAGAGGCUUUGGGUUUGUCACGUAUGCCACUGUGGAGGAGGUGGAUGCAGCCAUGAACGCAAGGCCACACAAGGUGGAUGGAAGAGUUGUGGAACCAGAGAGGGCUGUCUCAAGAGAAGAUUCUCAAAGACCUGGUGCCCACUUAACUGUGAAAAAGAUUUUUGUUGGUGGCAUUAAAGAAGACACUGAAGAACAUCAUCUAAGAGAUUAUUUUGAACAGUAUGGGAAAAUUGAAGUGAUCGAGAUCAUGACUGACCGAGGCAGUGGCAAAAAGAGAGGUUUUGCUUUCGUAACAUUUGAUGACCAUGACUCUGUGGACAAGAUUGUCAUUCAAAAAUACCAUACUGUGAAUGGCCACAACUGUGAAGUAAGGAAAGCCUUCUCUAAGCAAGAGAUGGCUAGUGCUUCAUCCAGCCAAAGAGGUCGAAGUGGUUCUGGUAACUUUGGUGGUGGUCGUGGAGGUGGUUUUGGUGGGAAUGACAACUUUGGUCGUGGAGGGAACUUCAGUGGUCGAGGUGGCUUUGGUGGCAGUCGAGGUGGUGGUGGAUAUGGUGGCAGUGGGGAUGGCUAUAACGGAUUUGGUAACGAUGGAAGCAACUUUGGAGGUGGCGGAAGCUAUAAUGAUUUUGGCAAUUACAACAAUCAAUCCUCAAAUUUUGGACCCACGAAAGGAGGAAAUUUUGGAGGCAGAAGCUCUGGCCCCUGUGGUGGUGGAGGCCAAUACUUUGCCAAACCACGAAACCCAGGUGGCUAUGGUGGUUCCAGCAGCAGCAGUAGCUAUGGCAGUGGCAGAAGGUUUUAAUUACUGCCAGGAAACAAAGCUUAGCAGGAGAGGAGAGCCAGAGAAGUGACAGGGAAGCUACAGGUUACAAACAGAUUUGUGAACUCAGCCAAGCACAGUGGUGGCAGGGCCUAGCCGCUACAAAGAAGACAUGUUUUAGACAAUACUUAUGUGUAUGGGCAAAAAACUCAAGGACUGUAUUUGUGACUAAUUGUAUAACAGGUUAUUUUAGUUUCUGUUCUGUGGAAAGUGUAAAGCAUUCCAACAAAGGGUUUUAAUGUAGAUUUUUUUUUUUUUGCACCCAUGCUGUUGAUUGCUAAAUGUAAUAGUCUGAUCAUGACGCUGAAUAAAUGUGUCUUUUUUUAAAUGUGCUGUGUAGUUAGUCUACUCUGAAGCCAUCUUGGAAUACUACCCCAACAGUGUGAAGUUAGAAUUCCUUCAGGGUGAUGCCAGGUUCCAUUCGAAAUUGAUUUGCAACCUGCUUGGGCACAGAAGCCAUUGUCUCCACAAACCUUGGUGUAGUUGAACUGACAGUUAAUGUGUUGUGACCUGGAGUUCACCAUUAAAAGUGUCACCCAAGCAAAGUCCUGGAGUUUAUUUGGUUAUUAAUAUGAUUGUUGGCACAUCCUAUGCAAUAUAUCUAAAUUGAAUUAUGGUAUCAGAUAAAAUUAUAGAUGGGAUUAAAGCUUGUGUAUCAUC